CUACGUGCCAGCAGCCGCGGUAAUACGUAGGGUGCGAGCGUUAAUCGGAAUUACUGGGCGUAAAGCGAGCGCAGACGGUUACUUAAGCAGGAUGUGAAAUCCCCGGGCUCAACCUGGGAACUGCGUUCUGAACUGGGUGACUAGAGUGUGUUAGAGGGAGGUAGAAUUCCACGUGUAGCAGUGAAAUGCGUAGAGAUGUGGAGGAAUACCGAUGGCGAAGGCAGCCUCCUGGGAUAACACUGACGUUCAUGCUCGAAAGCGUGGGUAGCAAACAGGAUUAGAUACCCUGGUAGUCCACGCCCUAAACGAUGUCAAUUAGCUGUUGGGCAACUUGAUUGCUUAGUAGCGUAGCUAACGCGUGAAAUUGACCGCCUGGGGAGUACGGUCGCAAGAUUAAAACUCAAAGGAAUUGACGGGGGCCCGCACAAGCGGUGGAGUAUGUGGUUUAAUUCGAAGCAACGCGAAGAACCUUACCAGGUCUUGACAUCCCUCUGACCGCUCUAGAGAUAGAGUUUUCCUUCGGGACA
rnacentral:rRNA from 1 species